UACGUAGGGUGCGAGCGUUGUCCGGAAUUAUUGGGCGUAAAGAGCUUGUAGGCGGUUUGUCGCGUCUGCCGUGAAAACUCGGGGCUUAACCCCGAGCCUGCAGUGGAUACGGGCAGACUAGAGGUAGGUAGGGGAGAAUGGAAUUCCCGGUGUAGCGGUGAAAUGCGCAGGUAUCGGGAGGAACACCGGUGGCGAAGGCGGUUCUCUGGGCCUUACCUGACGCUGAGGAGCGAAAGCGUGGGGAGCGAACAGG
rnacentral:rRNA from 1 species